AGAUGGGGAUUGUGCAAUCAUCCUAUCACUGUGCAUAAUAGAUGCAAAAAAUAGGUUUGAAGAGUUAAAACGUAGAAGUGUUCACAAAAACACAUUUUUAACAUUUGGACAAAUCCAAUAGAUUUACAUUGAAUGAAAGACCAGAAACCAGGAUACAAUGGAAACUUGGAUGUGUCUUUUGAUAUGGGCCUAUACAGCAUCCACCUAACAAGUAGGGCUUAAUGAUUAAUUGAAAUAAUACAAUCAAAAUCACAGUUUGGCUUAGUUUGAUUUUCAAAUCACAAAGGCUGAUGUUUAAUUUAAUAUGUACACGUACAGUUUGGAGUGUGUUCAUUUACACAUGUGCAGCUUACAAUAACAAUAUUUUUACUGUGUCUCAGAGCAGCUAUUAAUGUAGUAAUUCUAAAGUUAUUUGAAUAGUACAUGUGAUAAAAUUAUUAUUAUUUGUAUGAAAUACUCAUUAUUUUACAUUGAAAUAAAAAUAAAUGUAUAAGAUGUAUAAUCAUGUUUUUGGACCAAACUGUGCAGCCAAAAAUUGGCAUUUUAAA